GGAAGAGGCAGGAGUGAUCGAAUUUUAAGUGUCGCGCCGUGAUGUGUGUUUAAAGUUGAGUCAGCUAAGGAAAAGUGCCAAGUUCCGUAUAGCUACUAGUUUCGUGCGUGCGUUUUAGUAUUGUGCAGGUUUGUGGCAUACUGCGAAACCCCACACAUCGCACCCCAAAGCCAACGAUCGCUUCUGACCCCACUGUCAGCUACGAGGGUUUCCCGGAAGUACGUCGACCGGAAGAGGGCUUGCG